rnacentral:rRNA from 1 species
UGGGGAAUCUUCCGCAAUGGACGAAAGUCUGACGGAGCAACGCCGCGUGAGUGAUGACGGCCUUCGGGUUGUAAAGCUCUGUUAAUCGGGACGAAUGGCUACCAUGCGAAUAGUUUGGCAGUUUGACGGUACCGGAAUAGAAAGCCACGGCUAACUACGUGCCAGCAGCCGCGGUAAUACGUAGGUGGCAAGCGUUGUCCGGAAUUAUUGGGCGUAAAGCGCGCGCAGGCGGAUCUGCCAGUCUGUCUUAAAAGUUCGGGGCUCAACCCCGUGAUGGGAUGGAAACUACAGAUCUAGAGUAUCGGAGGGGAAAGUGGAAUUCCUAGUGUAGCGGUGAAAUGCGUAGAUAUUAGGAGGAACACCAGUGGCGAAGGCGACUUUCUGGACGAUCACUGACGCUGAGGCGCGAAAGCCAGGGGAGCGAACGGGAUUAGAUACCCCGGUAGUCCUGGCCGUAAACGAUGGGUACUAGGUGUAGGAGGUAUCGACCCCUUCUGUGCCGUAGUUAACGCAGUAAGUACCCCGCCUGGGGAGUACGGUCGCAAGGUUG